rnacentral:rRNA from 1 species
CAUUAAAGUUGUUGCCGUUAAAAAGCUCGUAGUUGAACUUCCACGGACCCAUGCGGUCUGCCUCACGGUAUGUACUGUGUGGGUCCGUGUUCCUUGGUGGUGAGCCUGGAUGCCGUUCGUUCGGUGUCUUGGUGAACCACCUCUGUUACCUUGAGAAAAUUAGAGUGUUCAAAGCAGGCAAUAUGCCCGAAUACAUUAGCAUGGAAUAACGAAAUAGGACGUGCGGUUCUAUUUUGUUGGUUUCUAGAGUCGCCGUAAUGAUUAAUAGGGAUAGUUGGGGGCAUUAGUAUUCAGUUGCUAGAGGUGAAAUUCUUGGAUUUACUGAAGACUAACUACUGCGAAAGCAUUUGCCAAGGAUGUUUUCAUUAAUCAAGAACGAAGGUUAGGGGAUCGAAAACGAUCAGAUACCGUUGUAGUCUUAACAGUAAACUAUGCCGACUAGGGAUCGGGCGACCUCAAUUUGAUGUGUCGCUCGGCACCUUACGAGAAAUCAAAGUCUUUGGGUUCGGGGGGGAGUAUGGUCGCAAGGCUGAAACUUAAAGGAAUUGACGGAAGGGCACCACCAGGAG